AAUUCCUAGCAUCCAUAUGGUGACUCACUACCAUCUAUAACUCCUGUUUCAGGGAAUUCAACACCUUUUUGAACUCUGAAGAGCAUGCACAUGGUGUGUAGACAUACAUGCAGGUCAAACACCCAUACACAUGAAAAUGUGUGGGUGAGCGAGAAAGAAAUGGGUAUAAGAAGCUAGGCAAGAUGUUAUACACCUGUAAUCCCAGCAGCACUCAAGAAGCUGAGGCAGGAGAAUCAAAACAUUUGAUUGAGUCUCUGCAGAUUUUUUUAAAAAGUGGUUUUGACUUAGAAGCUAUAGCGACAUUGUUCUACUUGCACUGUACUUCCUGUAUACUGUUCAUAGAGAGCAUCUUUCCGUGGGUUUCUCACAAAGCAGAGAAGUGUCCCUUCAGCCUCCACAUAAAUCUCCAUGUCCCGGCUUCUGUAGUUCUGAGGAUCAAAGGCACCCUGUGUCAACUGAGCUGCAUCCCAGCCCAUAUAGCAUGUAUUUGUUGGGCUUUCUCCAGGGACCCUCUAGGGUGCUUGUGCUGUGUUGCCAUACAUUUAUUAGUGUAUCUUUGUACAAGUGCUCUUCAUUGCUGUCUGUUUACUCCUACUUGGAAGUUACCUUAGCUUGACCAAGUACUAGCAGGAGUAUGAACGGGAGGUGCUGCCAUAGCUCUGGGCAUUAAACCUUACUGGGGAUGCAAGGGAAUGAAGAAAAGACAAACAUAGAUGCACAGAAAAGCUGCUUGUCCUGUGGGAUGGACUUAUAAAUUAACACCAGCUCCCCAGAAACUCGGGGUGUUUAUUAUAUGCAAGUGGGCAGAAAGGCAUGGCUUAUGGGUUACAGGGGUGACAAGGAGACAGGUUUAGCUCAUACUGGUAGGAAGAGUCUCUAUAGGGAACAGUUCAAGGGGUAAAUACCAGGGGAAAGAGCUAUGGUGUACAUUUCUCUGUGCACCAAGCCUCAGGUCCCCAAGAAAGCUUUGUCAUCCUUGAACCUCAUGUGGAUUGGGGAGACAGCUUUGCCAUUUUUUCCAUGGGAUUAUGCCUGGGGCCCUUGACAUUACCGUGUCAGCAGCUCACACAUUCAGGGCUCCAGCCACUUCCUUCAAAGGAGGGAUCUUCUCCAGAUUUCAUACUUCUUUCCUUUUGGGCUAUGAUAAUGAAUUCUUGAUUUCUUUUGUUCUGUUUUGUUUUGUGUUUUUGAGACAGGGUCUCUCUCUAUAGUCCUAGCUGUCCUGGAACUUACUCUGUAGACCAUGUUUGCCUCAAACUCAAGGAUCUGCCUCUCUCUGCUUCCCCAAGUGUUGGAAUUAAAGGAGUGUACCACCACCCCCGGCUUUCAAUAAUGAAGUCUUAAAGAAGCUGGGUGAGGAUAGGGAUAUGGAGAGGUGGGUCAGCAAUUAAGAGCACUUGCUGGUUUUGGAGAGGACUUGGAUUUGGUUCCCAGCACCCACAUAGGAGUAUACAUAUGCAAACUGUUCUCUGCUGUUCCAGGGGCUCUGGUGACCUAUGCAGGCCCAACAAUCAUAUAAAAUAAGUGAUCCUAAACCCAAAGGGGCUGAGGUCACCCCCUAGCAGUGUGAUCAGGAGGCUAGCCCUGGGUCCGCAUAGGCUCAGGCCUACUUGGAAAGGGUUCUGAGCUCCCCUUGCUCCCUCAUCUGCUACACAAAGGAAUCCAACUCCUGUCCUCCAGUUUGUUUCUUACAACGUGUGUCUGGAUGCGUGGGACUGACACCACACUGCUCUCUGGUCUUGCAGCCCUCACAUAAGGUUUGGGCUAUAUUUACCUUUUUCAAAUGGCACAUAGGAGAUCACUGAAACUACAGCAAGCCUUACAGUGUCUGUCAAGUCAUAGUUUAGGUUUAUCCUAGAAUCCCAUCUCCAUUCUUCUGCAAACCCUUCAGUGCCACACUGACUUGUUUCUAAAUGAACAAUUAUUAGGGUGGAGACAGAUCAAAGGUUGAUAUUGGGGCUGGAGUGGUAGCUCAGCUGUUAAAGAACUUGCUUCCAAGCACCCAAGUGGUAGCUCACAACCAUCUGUAAUUCCAGUUCCAGAGGAUCAGAUGUACUCUCUGUCCUCCACCAGCACCAGGUAUGUACAUGCAGGCAUAAUACCUAUAUGCAGUUUUGAAAAUUGUUCAAUUUUUAAGGGAAAUGACAAAAGAUUAAACUAAUACAGGUUGGAACAAAGUAAACACUGGCUACUACUAGUAGGUUGACAGGAGUCAAAGAAGUCCAGUGUGCAGAAAGCAACUACUAUGUGUAGUCAGAGCAGGGAGAGAAGGAAAAAGGGUAAGGAAAACAAACUUGAAAUCACAGCUGAACUCCUGAUCCUUAGAAGGAGCCAGGUCCUAGAGGAACAGGAAUAUGCAGGCCUGUGAGGAAACACUUGAGGAGGAGGUCCACUAACUAGCGGGCAGCUGGCGUUGCCUGAUACCACUGGGACAUACAAUGCAAUGAAUGGCUUAACUUAAUAUCCUGUUUUUUGUUGUUGUUGUUUUUUGUUUUUAUUCGAGACAGGGUUUCUCUGUAUAGUCCUGGCUGUCCUGGAACUCACUUUGUAGACCAGGCUGGCCUUGAACUCAGAAAUCCGCCUGCCUCUGCCUCCCAAGUGCUGUGAUUAAAGGCGUGUGCCACCACGGCCCGGCUUUUUGUUUUGUUUUGUUUGUUUUUAUCUGCUUUUUUUGUUUUGUUUUGUUUUUUGUUUUUUUUUAAAUGUCAGUUGAAAAUUGCAGCCUGGGAGAGCUUGGUGUGAGGACACCCAAGUUGGCUGGUUCUGAAGACAGGGAGGUGAGGAUCACAAGGUCUUUCAUGAACCACUGCACACUUAAUGAGAAAGGAGAGAAACAGCAUCCAGAAAGAUGUUGUCUGCAUGUCUCUCUAUUGGAGGGCUUGACAUUGAACUAUAGAACAAAGGAGAAACACUUCCCAAUGCCAGGCAAAGAAAUGAGGGUUGAUGCUCUCUGGUCACCACUUGAGGCAGUUGCUAGGAACUAACUAGCCAUGUGAUCCAGGUAUAAAUAUGAAUGCUUUUGAACUUAACAGCAAAUAAAAAUUGUGGCGAGAGGAAACAUCUCUUUUUUUAGUUCCUUCAGUUUCUGAAACAAUAUUAGAAAAAUCUGAUCCCAGAAAAGGGCCACUGUAACGGAGAAAAGUAAAAUUUGGCUAGAGCAAAGCAAUUGUGCCUACAGCGCACCACCAGUAGGUGUCCAAGCUAUGGGAACACACCGGCCUCACCUAAGGCACCAUAGCUUUCCGAGUGUUUCUGAAGUGCGGUGGUGGCACAUGUCUUUAAUCCCAACACAUUGGAGGGAAGAGGCCCGCGGAUCUAUGUUCGAGACCAGCCUGAUCUACAGAAAGAGUUCCAGGAAACACAAUAUUGGUGCCGGGGAUUUACGAUUCUGAAGAACAAAUAUACAUAAAGUCUAUUUCGGCUCUUUCCAAGGGGGGAGUCGUUCAAUAAUGUGUAAGAGCGAAGCGAGAGAAAACCAUACAAGCUCAGGCGAGCUCUGCUUCCGAUUCCAGUAAAACUGUUUUCAGCACAGAAUUGUUCAGGUUCGAUGUACUAGGGACCACCGGGAAGCCCUUGCUGGUGUGUUCUGUACGUUUAGGUAAAGCCACAAAGUGUCAGCACCCUGAGCCUUCUCUGUAGUUUUCCAAAAGAGAGCACUCCCCUGAAAUACUACAAAUCCCAUGGUGCCACUUCAGCGGAGGUGAGCGGGCCCUUGGCGCACGUGGGCUGAUCUGACCAAUAACGACCGUCGUUACAAGCAAACAGUUUGGACGUGUUUGUAAAAGUCCGUUUGUAAAAGGAGAAGAGACGCGGCGAGGGUCGUCACCAACGAGAUUCCUAGAGUUGCGAGGCAGGUAAGGGGGCAAAGUGGGAGAGGCCAAGCACCGGCGGAGCACGGCUUAGGGUGGGAACAGAGGCGGAAAAAGUGUUCGGGGAACUGCGUGUCGGACUGCUGACAUUUUUGCUGGGCCCUCAGUUUGACGCCGCCGGAAGUGGGCGUUUUGCGCAGGAUGCCGGGAAGCGGGUCGCAUGGGAAGUGCGUUUUCCAGCCGGCCGUUCCCGGAAGCUGAGCUUAGGCGCGCUCCCCUAAACAACACCGAGGAAUUGUGGCCCGGACUCUGUUAUUUGACAGUGACCGGGCUGAUUCUACAAUCAGUAAAGGUCUGCGAGCUGUGACGUCUCGAUCCAACCAGACAGUUUUAUUCCUAAAAUGGGUAAAUAGCGCCUCCACAGGAUCCCUUGUGUGAAUGCAUGCACUCGAAUACUUCUUUCUUACUUGGGGCGGUGUUCACGUGCCCAAAACAGCGUCCCCACACCGACCAGCUCAGCGGCCGCAUGGGACAGGGGGCAGCCUACCGCGCCUCGGGUUCCCUCAGCCAGCGCCAGGCGCUGCUCACCCUCUUGCUGAGAAGAGACAAUCAUCGGGAGACCCUUCAGGUUUCCAGCGGAGCUCCUUCACAAGUCGCGUUCCUUGUGUAUCCUUUUUUAAGACAGAGUCUGCAAGCCGGGCGUGGUGGCGCAGCCUGUCAUCCCAGCACUCGGGAGGCGAAGGCAAGAAGAUCUCAAAUUCCAGGACAGCUAGGCUACAUAACAGACCUUGUCUCAAAAAGAAAAGAACAAACUGGGCUGCCAAGAGCUCUACCUAGAGGAGUUGGAAUCUGGAACCCUGAGCAAGAGCUUUGCUAGAAGGGGAUGGAAUGUCUGCAAUGUUACAUCAGAACUCAGCCUUCAGAGGACUUAGGCCAAGUGGCACACCUCACUGCAAAUGAGCAUGCCUGGGUUUGUGCUGUCUGAUCAUCACAAGCUAAUGAACCGCGUUAGGUCUCACAGACACAGCUUCCACUGUUCUCCGGGUGCCUUGGCAGCUGGUACAGGGGCUGUGAACAAUGGAACCAAACUCUCAGAGGACUAAAGUCCCAGCUUUCUUAUCUGACUUGGGGAAGGCCACACUGAGGGGAAUCAGGAAGUGUCCCCGAUGUGGUACGUUCAAUGGAACCCGUGGGUUGAGCUGUAAGAACAAGACAUGUGGAACCAUAUUUCGCUAUGGUGCCCGAAAGCAGCCUAGCAUUGAAGCUGUCAAAAUCAUCACCGGCUCUGAUCUACAGGUCUACUCUGUGCGACAGAGAGACCGAGGCCCCGACUACCGAUGCUUCGUGGAGCUCGGUGUUUCGGAGACUGCAAUCCAGACCGUGGAUGGUACAAUCAUCACUCAGCUGAGCUCCGGCCGAUGUUACGUCCCCUCGUGUUUGAAAGCUGCCACUCAAGGCAUUGUGGAAAACCAGUGUCAACACAUCAAGCUAGCGGUGACCUGCCAGGCGGAGGCCACCCCUCUGACCCUGAAGAGCUCAGUCCUGAAUGCUCUGCAGGCUGCCCCAGAAACCAAGCAGAGCCUCUGGCAGCUGGCCACCGAGCCCACGGGGCCCCUGGUACAGAGAGUCACUAAAAACAUUAUGGUGGUGAAAUGCAAAGCCAGCCAGAAGCACAACUUGGGCUACUUGCACGCGUCCUUCAUGCAGAAGAUCAGCUCCAGAAGCUUGCCGGAGCGCCGCUUCUUCUGCUCCUGCCAGACUCUGAGGCCACACAAGUCCAGCGUCCCCAAGGCUGAGGCAGCCCCAAAGUGCAUCCAUUUCUUUGCUUGUCUCUGUGCCUUUGCCAGCGAUGAGACAUUGGCUCAGGAGUUCUCGGACUUUCUGAACUUCGAUGCCAGUGGUCUUAAGGAGAUAAUUGUGCCCCAUUUAGGCUGCCAUGCAGAGUCAUCUGUCUCAGCUUGUGAGUCUGCUGCCUCUAAGCCCCGGAAGAGGAAGAAGGAUGAAGUGUCUGGUGCACAGGUGAACAGCUCACUGAUGCCGCAAGAUGCAGUAAACAGCAAUCUAAGGAAGAGUGGCCUGAAAAGGCCUGUGGUUACGUCAUCAUUGAAAAGGCACGUCUGUGGUCAGCUGUUAGAUGAGGCACAAGUGACCCUGUCCUUCCAAGACUGGCUGGCCAGUGUCACAGAGCGCAUCCAUCAAACCAUGCACUAUCAGUUUGAUGGACCAACAAAGUGGAGUUAGAGAUAGAAGAAAAAAAGAGCAGCAGAUAAAACCUAGCCAGGCAUGCUGACGCACCUGUAGUUCUAGCACUCGUGGGACAGAGGAAGGAGGAGCCCUAAGGGUUGAGGCAAACCAGAACCCCUGGUGUUCCACAUUCCUCAGUCCUUUUUUGAUGCCUUGCAACAGAGAAUAUCCAUAGGAAGUGCAAAGAAGCGGCUCCCCAACUCCACUACAGCUUUUGUUCGGAAAGAUGCCUUGCCACUGGGAACCUUUUCCAAGUACACCUGGCAUAUCACCAAUAUUCUGCAAGUCAAACAAAUCUUAGACACCCCAGAGAUGCCCCUGGAAAUCACACGUAGCUUUAUCCAGAACCGGGAUGGAACUUACGAGCUGUUUAAAUGCCCCAAAGUGGAAGUAGAGAACAUAGCGGAAAGCUACGGCCGCAUAGAGAAGCAGCCUGUGCUGAGACCUUUGGAGCUGAAAACCUUCCUCAAAGUUGGUAACACUUCCCCAGAUCAAAAGGAGCCAACGCCCUUUAUCAUUGAGUGGAUCCCAGAUAUCCUCCCACAGUCCAAGAUUGGUGAGCUUCGAAUCAAGUUUGAGUAUGGUCACCACCGGAAUGGACAUGUGGCUGACUACCAGGACCCAAGGCCACCCAUGGACCAACCUUUGGAGCUGGCCCCUCUGACUACUAUCACUUUCCCUUGAGGCAAAUCAAGAGUAUUUUGCAGAGUUUGCACAUCCCAAUCCCUGAGGACUAUAAAUCCUAGUAGCACUUAUACGAUCCCUGCUAACGAACCACACUUGGCUAAGAUGCAGUUACUCAGCCCAUCCAUGUGUGUUCUGUAGAAGAAACUCUUGUAAAUAGCCUUGUGUGUACAGUCUUCAUACAAGUCGGGCACUUAUUUCUGACCAGAGUUUUAGAAGAAACAACAAAAAUCCAGCUCACUGGCUUCUCAUGGAUUCACCUGCAGCUUGUUUUUCUGUAAUUCUCCAAAAGUCACAGCACUGGAUCUUAGCCAACAGUGUUGGAAAGUUAACGAUGCCCUGGGCCGAGCAGGGUCCUCUCUCUCUGCCCAAGAGCUCCAAUCACUCUUUAUUCUGAUAACAAAAUAAAGUACAGUGUCACUAGUUUUUCCAAA